GGAUGAAUAGCUCCAAGGGUAGAGCAUCACGUUGAAGCCGUGACCGUGCAAGUUCGAAUCUUGCUUCAUCCG
rnacentral:tRNA from 1 species